rnacentral:rRNA from 1 species
UCGUCCUACGGGAGGCAGCAGUGGGGAAUAUUGCACAAUGGGGGAAACCCUGACGCAGCGACGCCGCGUGGGGGAUGAAGGUCUUCGGAUCGUAAACCUCUGCCAGCAGGAAAGAACGGUCACUGUGCUAAUCAGCAGUGAAUUGACGGUACCUGCAAAGGAAGCACCGGCUAACUCCGUGCUAGCAGCCGCGGUAAUACGGAGGGUGCGAGCGUUAAUCGGAAUUACUGGGCGUAAAGCGCUCGUAGGCGGUAUGUCAAGUCAAGGGUGAAAUCCCCGCGCUCAACGUGGGAACUGCCUUUGAA